GGCUGACCCACUGUCACUUGGCAGUUCAGCGGUCCCUGCUGAGCAGGACAAGGACUGAGGACAUCCGCGGAGGGUUCCACAUAGAUGUAACCGGCUGAGGCUGGAGCAGAUGCUGUCGGGUAUGUGGGGAGGAACACUGUUACCUGGCAGCUCAGAGGUCCCUGCUGAGCAGGUCAGGGAUUGAGGACAUCUGUGGAGGAUUUCGCACAGAUGUAACCUGCUGAGACUGGAGCAGAUGCUGUCAGGAAUCUUGCUCUUGAGGGUGAUGAGAAG
rnacentral:lncRNA from 1 species